AGAUUGAACGCUGGCGGCAUGCCUUACACAUGCAAGUCGAACGGCAGCACGGGGGCAACCCUGGUGGCGAGUGGCGAACGGGUGAGUAACAUAUCGGAACGUGCCCUGGAGUGGGGGAUAACUAGUCGAAAGACUAGCUAAUACCGCAUACGAUCUACGGAUGAAAGUGGGGGAUCGCAAGACCUCAUGCUACGUGGAGCCGGCCGAUAUCUGAUUA
rnacentral:rRNA from 1 species